UUCACUCAAAACAGUCAUAUUUAGAUAAAAAUAAGAUAAAAAGAUAAGAAUUCUGCAUACAGUAUCUCCUCUCGUACACUUUAUCUUCCUUUAAGGUAAGUACUCAUGGCUAUUGUAAAUCUUGUGUAUCUUUUAGCUGCCCCGGUUUUUUUUGUUUUUUUUGAAUUAGUAAUCUAAAAAUGAAUUUUCUUUCCAGUUAGGGAAUACUGAAAUUCUUAUAAUUAUACCAGUGUGCAAAAGGAAAAUUAUAAAAAGAUUCUACUUAGGUAUGUUGUUUUGAAGAGUGCACAUGAGGAAGUUGUAAGCCAUUGUCCAAAAUGAUAGAUAGAAUGAUUUUCUGUUGUCCUAGCUGCAGGGCUGGUUUUCCCAAGUUAAA
rnacentral:lncRNA from 1 species